rnacentral:lncRNA from 1 species
GCCACGAAGCCGAAUUAAAAGAUCUAAGACUUGGUAUGAGUAGAUCAUGCGAUGUUGAGGUUGAGCAUACGAAGAAGCGUAGGAAAAGAAACACCAACCUGCUGCAAAGACACAGGUGAGGGUGGCACAGAUGACCCUUUCGAUUAUUUUAGAGGCCGUGCCCCGGUUGCUUCUGCUCUGACUCCCUCGCCUGGCAGAGGAAGAAGGAGACGAAGAAGAGAAGGAAGAAGAUCGAAAGGAUGAAGAAGGAGACCGAGAGAAGACAUCCAUGGCGUCCCGUUGCAGAGCAGCUCCCGAGGGAUCUUGUGAUAUAGUGGUGGUGAUAGGGAGGGGAUGCUUAACGAC